rnacentral:rRNA from 1 species
UACGGGGGGGGGCAAGCGUUUGUUCGGAAUUACUGGGCGUAAAGGGCUCGUAGGUGGCCAACUAAGUCGGACGUGAAAUCCCUCAGCUUAACUGGGGAACUGCGUCCGAUACUGGAUGGCUUGAGUUUGGGAGAGGGAUGCGGAAUUCCAGGUGUAGCGGUGAAAUGCGUAGAUAUCUGGAGGAACACCGGUGGCGAAGGCGGCAUCCUGGACCAACACUGACACUGAGGAGCGAAAGCCAGGGGAGCAAACGGG